AGAGUUUGAUCAUGGCUCAGGACGAACGCUGGCGGCGUGCCUAACACAUGCAAGUCGAGCGAAGCUUAAGUCUUCAGCUUGCUGUAGGCUUAAGACUUAGCGGCGAACGGGUGAGUAACGCGUGGGUGACCUACCCAGGAGACCGGGAUAACAGCUCGAAAGGGCUGCUAAUACCGGAUGACAUCCUGCUCUUUUGGGGGUAGGAUCAAAGCGUUAAGUAGCGCUUCUGGAUGGGCCCGCGUCCCAUUAGCUAGUUGGUGAGGUAACGGCUCACCAAGGCGACGAUGGGUAGCCGGCCUGAGAGGGUGGACGGCCACACUGGGACUGAGACACGGCCCAGACUCCUACGGGAGGCAGCAGUAGGGAAUAUUGCGCAAUGGACGGAAGUCUGACGCAGCGACGCCGCGUGAGCGAUGAAGGUCUUCGGAUCGUAAAGCUCUGUCCUUGGGGAAGAAGGCGAAAGCUUGACGGUACCCAAGAAGAAAGCCCCGGCUAACUACGUGCCAGCAGCCGCGGUAAU
rnacentral:rRNA from 1 species